AGUGCAGUGAUGUGACUAAAACACAUUUGUGUUAUUGGGCAGUGGACGUUGCCACAAGGUAACGCCGUGAGCUUAUAAUUAAACGACUUCUCCUUCCACUGAGCACU
rfam:Lupinus angustifolius cultivar Tanjil contig_6774, whole genome shotgun sequence.